GAUGAACGCUAGCUACAGGCUUAACACAUGCAAGUCGAGGGGAAACGACAUCGAAAGCUUGCUUUUGAUGGGCGUCGACCGGCGCACGGGUGAGUAACGCGUAUCCAACCUGCCCACCACUUGGGGAUAACCUUGCGAAAGUAAGACUAAUACCCAAUGAUAUCUCUAGAAGACAUCUGAAAGAGAUUAAAGAUUUAUCGGUGAUGGAUGGGGAUGCGUCUGAUUAGCUUGUUGGCGGGGUAACGGCCCACCAAGGCGACGAUCAGUAGGGGUUCUGAGAGGAAGGUCCCCCACAUUGGAACUGAGACACGGUCCAAACUCCCACGGGAGGCAGCAGUGAGGAAUAUUGGUCAAUGGGCGAGAGCCUGAACCAGCCAAGUCGCGUGCAGGAUGACGGCCCUAUGGGUUGUAAACUGCUUUUAUAAGGGAAUAAAGUGAGUCUCGUGAGACUUUUUGCAUGUACCUUAUGAAUAAGGACCGGCUAAUUCCGUGCCAGCCGCCGCAGUAA
rnacentral:rRNA from 1 species